rnacentral:rRNA from 1 species
GACGAACGCUGGCGGCGUGCUUAACACAUGCAAGUCGAACGCUGAAGCUCAGCUUGCUGGGUGGAUGAGUGGCGAACGGGUGAGUAACACGUGAGUAACCUGCCCUCUUCUUUGGGAUAACGCCCGGAAACGGGUGCUAAUACUGGAUAUUCACUGAUUCUCGCAUGGGGGUUGGUGGAAAGGUUUUUUCUGGUGGGGGAUGGGCUCGCGGCCUAUCAGCUUGUUGGUGGGGUGAUGGCCCACCAAGGCUUUGACGGGUAGCCGGCCUGAGAGGGUGACCGGUCACAUUGGGACUGAGAUACGGCCCAGACUCCUACGGGAGGCAGCAGUGGGGAAUAUUGCACAAUGGGCGAAAGCCUGAUGCAGCGACGCCGCGUGAGGGAUGGAGGCCUUCGGGUUGUAAACCUCUUUCGCUCAUGGUCAAGCCGCAGCUUGGGGUUGUGGUGAGGGUAGUGGGUAAAGAAGCGCCGGCUAACUACGUG